rnacentral:rRNA from 1 species
GUAACCUGCCUGUAAGACUGGGAUAACUCCGGGAAACCGGGGCUAAUACCGGAUGCUUGAUUGAACCGCAUGGUUCAAUCAUAAAAGGUGGCUUUUAGCUACCACUUACAGAUGGACCCGCGGCGCAUUAGCUAGUUGGUGAGGUAACGGCUCACCAAGGCGACGAUGCGUAGCCGACCUGAGAGGGUGAUCGGCCACACUGGGACUGAGACACGGCCCAGACUCCUACGGGAGGCAGCAGUAGGGAAUCUUCCGCAAUGGACGAAAGUCUGACGGAGCAACGCCGCGUGAGUGAUGAAGGUUUUCGGAUCGUAAAACUCUGUUGUUAGGGAAGAACAAGUACCGUUCGAAUAGGGCGGCACCUUGACGGUACCUAACCAGAAAGCCACGGCUAACUACGUGCCAGCAGCCGCGGUAAUACGUAGGUGGCAAGCGUUGUCCGGAAUUAUUGGGCGUAAAGCGCGCG